CCUACGGGCGGCAGCAGUGGGGAAUAUUGCACAAUGGGGGAAACCCUGAUGCAGCGACGCCGCGUGAGUGAAGAAGUAUUUCGGUAUGUAAAGCUCUAUCAGCAGGAACGAGACAAGACGGUACCUGACUAAGAAGCCCCGGCUAACUACGCGCCAGCAGCCUCGGCAAUACGCAGGGGGCAAGCGUUAUCCGGAAUCACUGGGGGGAAAGGGAGCGUAGACGGCUGAGCAAGCCUGAAGUGAAAGGCGGGGGCCCAACCCCCGGACUGCUUUGGGAACUGUACGGCUGGAGUACAGGAGAGGUGAGUAGAAUUCCUGGUGUAGCGGUGAAAUGCGUAGAUAUUAGGAGGAACACCAGUGGCGAAGGCGGCUUACUGGACUGUAACUGACGUUGAGGCUCGAAAGCGUGGGGAGCAAACAGGAUUAGAUACCCUAGUAGUC
rnacentral:rRNA from 1 species